UACGGGGGGAGGCAAGCGUUGUUCGGAUUUACUGGGCGUAAAGGGCGCGUAGGCGGUCAGCACAAGUCAGUUGUGAAAUCUCCGGGCUUAACUCGGAAAGGUCAACUGAUACUGUGCGACUAGAGUGCAGAAGGGGCAACUGGAAUUCUCGGUGUAGCGGUGAAAUGCGUAGAUAUCGAGAGGAACACCUGCGGCGAAGGCGGGUUGCUGGGCUGACACUGACGCUGAGGCGCGAAAGCCAGGGGAGCGAACGGG
rnacentral:rRNA from 1 species